AGUCGCCGAGCAGCGCGCAACGUGUGACAUCCGCUUCUGAGCGAAGUCCGCGCUGCGGGCAACAGGAGCUGACUGCAGAGUGCAGAGUGCAGAGUGCAGAGUGCCGAGUGCCGAGUGCUGAGUGCUGAGUGCUGAGCGCGCACGCGUGUCGCAGGGAACAACACCACGUGACCCGACACCCGCGGAGCGAGGCUGAGGCCGCAUCCAGUCGACAGUUCACGUCCGGACUUCUCAGCUCGCCGCAGCAGGAGGCGCCAUGAGGACCCCGGCCCUGGUCGUCAUCAUGGCCGCUGCCUCGUGUCUGGCGCUGCCCGCGCUCUGCCUGGUGCCGCGGUGCCGGCAGCUGCCCGCCCUGGCUCUCCCUGGGGAGGUCUCCGUGCUGGCGCCGCUGGCCCCGUCCUGACGGCAGUGCGUCAAGCAGGCCAGGCUGCUAAAUCUGCUUGAGACCCGCUUCAAAGCAUCAAAUUUCUCAAACGUCAACUUCUUCAUCGUCAGCUUAAGAACUUCAGGGAACGACACCAGAGGGCUAACUUACCUACGUCGAGCAGCUGGGAGGAUUCCAAUUCUUCAGGAGCCGGAAAAUUGUGCAGAGUGGACCAACAUUUUAACAGACACCAACAUGCACAUACUUGUAAUGGACAAAUGUAAUCGUCUGACAUACCAACUGAUACAGCCAUGGAGCGCACCCAACUACCCAUAUGUCAAAGCUGCAAUACUGUCAACAUAUAUUGACAAUCCGUGUGGUGACUGCAACAAAACAUCAACAAUGAUUGAAAAUUCGACUUCACCGCCGUCUACAACAGAAUCUGGAAUUCUGUCUCGAUACGACAUUCCCUUGGAGGCUACGUCAAAAGCAGACUCAAACUUGCCCUUCCCAUUAGUGAACACUGCUACUGGAAUAACGGCUACAAAUGAGAACACGAAUUAUUCUGUCGCUGUAGAAACUGCCUCAAAUUCAUUUUUAGAUAAGAACAGGAACAAAAUACAAAACGCAACAAAUUACUUUCAGUACUCUACACUUUUACAGCAGGCAAAUAUAAGCAAUACAAGUGACACUCAAAAUGUAAAUGGCACACUUGACAACAAUUUAUACAGAAUUCUUCAUAAACGUAACUUAAAAAAUCAUACUUUUUCAAACCAUAUUUUGCAAAUUCCUUCCAUAACAACUGAGGACAAUGAUGAAAAUGAAGAGGUAAGUAACGUCUCAGCAGGAAACACAUCAGAAUCAAGUACGACCACAUACGGUUCAGAGUCCCCAGAAAGUACGACAGAGCCACAAUCGCAAGAGAACCCGUCCGUGUUGAAAAAUGUUGACCAGUCUGUAAAAACAGAGGUGAACUUUAGUACCACUUCUAAUUAUAUUCGCUCCACAGAACAACCCCAUGACAACAGCACCAGAUUCGAUACAAAUAUAUCUGUGGAUGAAACCAGAAUUGAACAACAGAUGCACUCGAAGAAUGAUUCCGACGAUCACAAAGCUGCUCACGGCAAAUUCUUUCACGACAGGAAAUCCCACGCCUAUCUGUGUCCUCGGAGGAAAGUUGUAAAACACCGCGGCACGGGCCUGGACGACGCGAACACCACCGCCGAAGCCGUGCAAGGAGGAAGUCGCCACUGGAGGAAACCAAGCAAGUGCAAGCGGAAGCCCAUCUCCUUGGCGGAGAGGACUCAGACGACGAGCGCGGAUCGGGACUACGCCCACGGCCUGAGCCCGGCGGUCAGCACGGACGUCGCGAUGAUAGGCGGAGAACCCUCUAGCACUUGCGCCGAAGAGGGCAGGGGCGGUGGCAGGAACGCCCUGGAUCCCGGCGUCGACGAGACGUUGGAACACCCGGAUGACGGAAGGAAAGCCCCCGCCGGCAAGACGCGCAAGAAGUGUCCCGCGAAGCCGAAACAGGACGAAAUCCACCGGGACAAGAGCGCGGAGCUGCCAGGACAGUCACCUCCGACACAACCCACAAGGACAACACCUCCCCAGGAGAACGUCAGCGUGGUCGCAGCUAUGGUCUGUCCGGAGCGCAGAGGCGAAGAAUCCGAGGAAGGAGUUCGAUAUCCAACCGCGAACGCGACAGAGGAAGAAACCAUCCGACAAUACGAAGAACUAUCACCAUGGCUGGAGUACAUACUCUAGUCAAAGAUACUAUCCGGAGCAUUUAUCUAGACCGUUCACAGCAGUAUUACAACACGUGCAUUGCAUGAAUUGUCAAUAAGCGGCAGCAAACAUUCUAAAACUGAUUUCAAUGGGUCGUUUAUUAGGUUACGUCAGUUACAUCUAUCACAUUAUCAAGCUUCUUCAAAAAUUUUAAUUGGAUUAGGUUCGUUAGUUAAGAUUAAAAAUUGGUUCUGCAGAACAGUCUUUGCUGUGUUUAUUUACACGAAGGAAGUAUCAAGGUGUGAACACUCGCGCUACAAAGCGCUUUGCAGUCAGCUGAAAACGAUAAACAUGAUGUCUAAUGUAUUAUUCAAUUUGACUGGCUUUAAAUAUUAUCAAAUAAUUAUAAGCUAAAAUGCUUUAUUUUGUAAAUCAAAUAUUUGAAUAGUAUUUUUGUUACAAAAUAAGAAACCACUGAUGUAUGUUUUUAUUAUAAUCAUAUGAUUUUUAAAAAAAAUAUUUUACAAGUGUUAGCUCUAACUGGAAGAGGACUGAAGAUGGCGACUUUAGUACUUUUUUUGUGACGAGACGUUUUUCUCAUUUGCAAUAUUAUGAUGACUCUGUACUAAACCAUUAAAUUAAAAUGGCGAACAGACGUCUGAAGUUUCUCAGCAAAUGUGAUUUGAUGACUCGACUAAACAAAGUACUAUUACCCAUUAUAAUUAGUUUUUGCUUGUAUUUGCUAAAUAAUGUAAACAUAUUUUAAUACACUAGUAUAUUAUUAAAAAUUAACAAGAAAUUUGUUGAAAA